UACGUAGGGGGCAAGCGUUGUCCGGAUUUAUUGGGCGUAAAGAGCGUGUAGGCGGCUUGGUGGGUCUCGCGUCAAAACCUGAGGCUCAACCUCAGUUCGCGUGGGAAACCACCUAGCUAGAGUCCGGAAGAGGAGAACGGAAUUCCCAGUGUAGCGGUGAAAUGCGCAGAUAUUGGGAAGAACACCAGUGGCGAAGGCGGUUCUCUGGGACGGUACUGACGCUGAGACGCGAAAGCGUGGGGAGCGAACAGG
rnacentral:rRNA from 1 species